GGGCAGAGUGGGGACAGCUCAGAGACCAGGGAAGGCAGCAGGAGCAGCUGCCUGGAGGACUCCCAAUGAAAGGGGAGAGGAGAGGAGGCUGAGGCAACACUCCACAAGAGAGGGGGUUGGGAAAAGGGUGAGAGGCUGCCAGUUCUGCAGGCAAGGGAUAACAUAGCUGGGCUCCUGAGCCCCACAGGGGUGCCACAAAAAGAAUGUACCGGUAGUUGGUCAAGGGAGCUCUGGACUCAAAAAUGUUGAAAACCUCUGGCCUAAGGCAACCUUUUUCAGGACAUAGGUGAGAUUUCAACUGGGGUUCUCCUGGCUACAUUACAAUUGUUUUAUUUGUAUUUAUCAUCUUAUUGUAAACACAUAUGCAACACACCUGUGUAUAAAUCCAUGAUAUAUAUGUGUGUAUUAUGUAAGACUUAGUCUUGCAUUCAUUUACCUAGUGAGUUAGGGGACUUACUUCUCAGUAGACAUGUAUAUAAUUGUGCUGUUAUUCAAUUAACAUUUCUUUUGAAAUUUUAUUUCAACAACAUUUUAUUGUUAAGUAGGAUAAGGAAACAUCAGAAUAGAAACAACCUUGUAUCCAUCUACAUUUCAUAUUUUCUGGACUGUGAAAUCAAAGGCUUUGUGUGUUACUGUUGAUUCAUGUUGUUAUUCAUACUCACUAUCCCCUAACUUCAGAAAGAAACAUGCACAGCUUUCUGGGAGCCUGUGGCUCUUCCCAUAUAAGUUCCAUAGAUUUUCAAGAAAAAAUUAUUGGAUGUGUUAUGUUCAGCUUAUUUAGCAGAAUAAAACGGGGGGGGGGGGGCAGGGAGAGGAAGAGAGGUCUAGGUUUCUUUCCAGAUCUCCAUAUCAUAGAUCUCUGGAGAUAUUUCUCCCAUUCAACUGAAACUCACUUGGAUCUCUCUCUAUCUCUCAAACACCACUUCUUCCCGUGGAGAUCUGCACUUAUAAAUACACCUGGAAUCUCCUUUUCUUAUCACCUCACUUUCCUGAUUUGGGGAAACCACAUAUUUAGGGUUUUUUUUUUAAAAAAACCCCAGCUAUUUCCAAUCUCUCACUUUUUUCUUCUUCUUUUGGUGAACAACAAAGAAAUGGAAGAGAGAAAGCACAUGAAUAUUACGAAGAGUCAAUUAAAUUGUUUGGAAACACUGGCAGGGGGGAGGGGGGGAGCAAAAAAAGAAAAAGAGCGCCGGGCCUUCGCGUUAGGAAGAAAGCCAAUUAAACGGGCUUGAUAAGCAUCUGUAUUAGCAACAAGUGCAGCCCAGAGGUCACAAGCAACACUAAGUAAACAGAGCGGGCAGAAGAGGGGAGCUUUUGUGGCGGCUGUGCAGCUGUCCAGCCUCCUAUUGUCCGAGAGAAGAUUGGGUGCAAGCGCCCCGCUGCCCCCUAGCCAGCCCGAUGCACAAAAACAGCUUGGGAUGUUCUGCAUGCGUAGGCAACCUCACAGCCCCCUGAGGCUGGUGGGGCUGCUUUGGGGAAGCGGGACUUUCUCCGCUGUUUCUUCUCUCCCUCCUCUUCCCCUCCCGCCCCGACAAGUAACAAAGCCAGCCUGUAAAACAGUUCAGAAUAGGGGGAGCCGGAACAGAGAAAAGGGUCCCCGAUGGGGAAAGAAAAAGCGCCGUGUCACGCCACAAAAGAAUAGGAAGUCGAAAGGAGAAAUAAAACUGCAAGCAAGAAUUAUCUUGUUAAACAGAGGUGCUUUCCCUCCCUUUCUUUCUCUGGCUUUCUCCUCCCUUUCUUCCACACAUCCCAGCCUCUCCCCCCCCCCCCAGCACUUGUCUUUGUGAAAAGUUCUCCCCUCCCCCGUUUUAAAGUUACAAGAGGUGGCACAAGUUGGAGCGGUCUCCCUCCCCACCAGCAAAAACUUCAGCCGGAGAUUUGAUGGCUUAUUUGCAAGGCUGGGGGAGUAGGAAGCCAGUAAACGAAGAUUCACAUUUCCCCGCCCCGUCCGCUUUUCAUCUGUUUCGGUGCUGUUGAGAUCCAGGUAACAGGAAGACAACUUCGAACCAUAAGCUGCAUUUCCUUCGGCAAGAAUCCGUCGGGGUUUACUCAGAAGUCAGCUUCCGACAGGACUUGCUCGCGAGCGACUGAGCGCUCAGCAACUGCAGUUUUAGAAUCGAAGGGAAAUCACUCCAGAAAUCACACAUUAAGAUACACCAGAUCAACAAUAAAGAAGCUUGAAGUGCUUUAAAUGUUAAUGCACUCAAAUCCAAAGUUUUGCAUAAGGGCAGGCCACGUUUUUCAAAUAAAUGUAACCAGAAAAAACGGUACUAAACACUCUGUUCUAAAUCCAGAAUGUUCUCCUUUUGGUGCUUGUGGUUGGACAAAGAAUGCUGCCCCCCUCUUUGUUUUUUUAAUUGUCUUUCUGAAAACUAAGUGGCUGGAAUUCACUCAGACCGGAAACACUCAAUUAAGUACGUGCAAGCUUAAAAACUUUUCAGCAUUCAAAAGGCUUUGCUAGGCAGUUCUAGGGGGGGGGGGGGAGAGCGCAAAUUGCUUGUGCUGAUGAAUCACACAAGACGAUUUUGCAGAACGGUUUGGGAUCUACAUUCUUUGCUUUACAAGUGAUCAGAAAGUGCUGCGUUAAACAUUUCCCUCUUCAUCCCCAUCCCCCCCCCAACCCCCUUCCUUCGAUGGUUAAAACUGCAGUCCUAGGAACACUUCCCAGAGGAUAAACUCCACGGAAUUAACUGGGGAGAAAAUACGCUUAGUCCUUCUGCCCUCAAAUCUUCCAUUAGCGUAGAUGGGAGGAAGACACUAAGUAUCUGAACAGGUCUAAACAGUCCCAAUAUCAUCGAGAAAGAUGAUCGAACACUUGUUUCACAACAAGUUUGCGAAGGAACAAUUGUAUUUAUCUUAUGGGCAUUAAUUUCUUAUCUGGUAAGUGGAAAGGUGGGGUCAGAUACAAUUAGGCAAUCUUUAGAGUGCUAUCUGUAAAUUGAAAACCCAAGGUCUUUUUUUCCUUGCUGAAACCAAGAUUCCGUUUAUAAGAGAAGCGGCUCGAUAUUAACAUUUAUUUAGUUUUUUACGCUUGUUUCACUUCAUCCCAGUCCUGUUGUAAAGCAUCUUUCGUAAAAAUGGGAUGGGUGGAAAGUGAUCCUAAGUACGAAGUUACAGGAAGAAGGUAGGAAACAGUACAUCUAACCACAUCAGCUACAGAGCAAUUUUAUACAUGUUUACUCAGAUGUAAGUCUAUUGAGUUCAAAUGCGACUUACUCCCAGGUAAGGGACUACAGGGAUUUGGGGGGCACUGUCUUAUAGUGGCUCCGCCGUUCUUUCCUAGAGGGGCCAAUCCGAAGGUGGUGCUGGGGGACUUCUCUUCCACGCCUUAGUUACAACCGGCUUGGAUUAGUGUAACGCGCUCUACGUGGGGCUGCCUUUGAAAACUGCUCAGAAACUUCAGCUGGCUCAAGGAGCUGCAGCUAGAUUGCUGACCCAGGCCAGUUAUAGGGAGCAUGCAGCUCCCCUGUUGCAACAACUCCUUUGACUACGGGUCUAUUUCUGGGCACAAUUCAGAGUCCUAGUUAUGACCUAUAAAGCCCGACAGCCGCUUAGGUCCAAGCCAUCUGAAACCGCCUAGGUUUGGAGAUCUUGGGGGAGGCCCUUCUCUGGGCCCCACUUGCAGGAGAGGGCCUUCUUGGUGGCUGCUCCUAUACUUUGGAACUCCUUCCCUAGAGAAGCUAGACUGGCUCCCUCAUUGCUAUCCUUUGGCCGGCAAGUGAAGGCUAUCUUGUUCCAACAGGCUUUUGGGAACUGACUAAUUAUUGGUGUGAUUUUAAUAGAUUUUAUAUCUGUAUCAAGUUUUAAUUUGAUAAAUGUUUAAUCAGUUUUUAAUUAUCUCCUCUCCUCCCUAUGUUUUUAGCGGUUCUUAUUUUUAUCUGUAAGGCGCCUUGAGUCCCGUCAGGUGAAGAGGAAGGGUAUGUAUAUAUAUAUAUAUAUAUAUAUAUAUAUGUAUGUAUUAUAUGUAUAUAUAUAUAUAUAAAUACAAAUAAUUAAAUACAGUACUGCAGCCCUAGUGAAUGAGAAGGGACACGGUUCAGUCCAGGUUAAGUCAUUUUCUGCAAGCCUGUAUCCUGGGAGUAAUUUCCAUUGAACUUACUUACUUCUGAGUAGACAUUUUAGGAUUGCACUAAGUCCCUUUGAUAUCAGUGAGGAGUGAGAACUAGGCAUUUGCUUAACUCUUCCCCUGAAAUCAGUAGGAUUUUUAACUACGCAAUACUUGGAAGGAAAUCCUACGUAUGUGAAAGCAGUUUCUCCCAAGUAAGUGUGCCUAGAACUACAAUGUUAAAGAGUUUAUAGCGGAGUGUUACUGAAAGAAACAACCACCCUUUUAACAUCUGGCUCUUAGAACACCUUCGGGACGAAAAUGGAAAAAAGAGAGAACACCAGUGGGACAUAAUUUGAACUAAUAUACUGAAGAGUCAUGUGCCAAAACCUCAAUCCUUGUGGGAAAUUUCUUGGCAAAAUGCACAUCUGUACUAAGAUUGUUGAAACUGGCAACGGGAUUGUCAGAAUAACUUUAAAUAAAUAGGCUAUUUUCCCCCUCUGAACUGCUUAAUUUGAUUGAUAAUCUCUCCCUCCCGCCCCCACAUCUACUUCUUAAAUCUGAAGCUUUUGAAGAAGGGGGAAAAAAAUUCCAAGGGCUGUUGUUGCGUCUUGGCUCGAUUGUACUUCAGAUAGUGACAGAUAUAGACACCAGAACAAACAAGUUUCGACCCCUGUCAAGCCCCCUAUCUUCGCCCCCCUCCUGCAACAAGUCAGAGAAAUCUCUUUGGUAGUCUAUGCAGGAGGACUUUAGCCUUUGAAGUCCCCUCCGAAGCUCAACUUUUUAAUCGGGAAACUUUAGUGAAGAUGAUGGAUGGCUUCGUUUCAAAACCGUCUCAGUCUUUUCAAACCCCACAAGCUGGAGACUGGUUCUCGUGGCGCACAGAGGCAACCCUAUCGCACUCUGCCCCAUCCCCCCCCCCAAACCGGCGGAAAUUCGAUUUGGGGAAGUUCCAUUCAUCUAUUCUUCCAAUUCAAGGUUUGUUAACUUAUUAUGAUCAGACGUUGAAAGCUCGUUGCGCACGGUGGGUCUAGACGGACGGUCAUCCCUUUAUUUUAAAGGCAAUUAGCGCAAUCCUAUGCCUGGUUCCUAGGAAAUAAGUCCCAGUGCUUUCAAUAGGACUCGCAUCCUAUGGAGUGCGCAUUCGACUGUAGCCCACCAGUCGAACCCAUCACCAUUUGCAUGGGCGCACAUGCCAUAGAUUUCCCGUCUCUGGAUUACUUCUGAGUCAGUGUGGAUAGGGUAUGUGUUCCGUGGGGCUCUCCCUUAGAUAAUUGCAUUCAGGGUUGUUUAACUCUGGCCAGAUUAUGCCUUAAGUUUUUUAAUGAGGCCAACAGGAUAGUCACUUACCCUCUUCGUGGAACUGUAGCGUUGGGAGGGACCCUGAGGAUCAUCUAGUCCAACCCCCUGCAAUGUAGGAAUAUGCAGCUGUCCCAUACGGGGAUCGAACCUGCCACCUUGGUGUGAUCAGCACCACGCUCUAACCAAGUGAGCUAUCCAGCAUUUAGGAACGUACGAAGCUGUCUGAGACCAAAUCAGACCAUUGGCCCACCUUCGUUCAGCAGUGUCUACUCUCAGGGGAGUCCUUCCUACCUGGGGAUACCAGGGAUUGCAUCUGGGACCUUCUGCAUGCAUUGCAGGUGCCCUGCCACUGAACUUCGGUCUUCCCCUCUCCAAGCAAUAAUAUGCUUAUGAAUGUGGCCUACAUUUUGGCAUUUCAGUUUAGCUGCGUUGUGAAUCUUCCACUGCUGGAUAAAAGGCACAGGUUUAGAAUACACGCACGCGGGAUAUUUCGGGAUCUCAUAUUUUUAUUUGUUUUAGAAGAGACUUUUAUUUUACCUCAUGCUGAAAGACAUAUUUCUUGCACUCCUGUUUCUGCAAACUGGGGCUGCUUCUAUGACCAGUUGCUAGAAAAAGUCAACUGCACACUGGGUUGCCAACUUUUAAAAGAUCAGGGCACCUGUGCCUUUAACAGGUUCACGGAAAUAAGCAACCCACCCUCUCUAACCCGCCCUCUCCCCCUCGCAUCUUGUAAGGCGGAAAACCUUCACCUGCAGACGUUUUUCUUUCCCACCGCAGGUGCCAAAGACACAAGAGCCGCGACAGCCCCCAAAGGUGGCAACAAUACCCCGCGGUCCCUGAUUUUCCCCUGCCCUCCGCUGAACUUUGGGCAAUCCGACUGAGAUUCCUUCAAAGCCCUCUAGACAGCAGGAUCUCACUUUGCCAGCGGAUCUAGGAAACCCGAGACGAACUGCGGCUUUCUCAAAGCGUUAAAUUGUAGAGAGCUAAAAAGCCGUCGCCCCAUAAACGAGGCGCAGCCCGCCAACAGGUGGGUAACCUACUUUGAACGGUAUCAGAUGCUGCUCUGGGGAAUUGACGCCGGCAGCUUGCUGUCUGUACAACCAUGACAGACCUGGCCUUUUAAAAAAGAGCGACGAACAAAACUUAAUUAAGUCAAAUGAUGUUAACUUUUGUUCUCCUGAAUGGAUGGCGGGCUGGAGCAAUUAGAAGCGUUUCAUCAACUGCUUUCAAGAAGGAAGGCAGACCCCCCCCGCCCCGCAGAAGAACGUGUGAGUGUGUUUGGAGGAAACACGCAAUGUCGAGGGUGGCCAUCCUAAGCGCAUUUCUUUGGACGUAACUCCUGACGAAAUCAGAGAAGCUUCCUUCCCACUAAAACGUGCAUAGGAUCGGGGCUGCAGGAAAAGACUAGGAACACAACUGUAAACUUGUCGCAUGGCUAAGGCUCAAACCCUCUCCAGGCGU